UUUGUCUUUUAAUUGAGGACUGGAAUGAAAGAGUAAACUGAAAGAAUUUUUUUUUAAUUGAAAAAACGAAUUUUACUUUUUAGUAAGAAGGCUAAGAUAUUUCUUUAAGACGAGAAGACCCUAUAAAACUUUAUAUUUUUUUUAAGUAAAAAGGAAAAAAGUAUUUUACUGGGGCGGUAGAGAAAUUUGACUUUCUCUAAAAGAAAAAACAAAAAAUGUUUUUGUAUCUAGAAUUUCUAAAGAAGGAAUAAGUUACUUUAGGGAUAACAGCUUAAUUCAUUCGGAAAGAUCAAAUUGAUGAAUGAGUUUAUGACCUCGAUGUUGAAUUAAAAUUUCUUCU
rnacentral:rRNA from 1 species